GUUGAGUUCAAUUUUGUCUUCAGAGAUUUUUGUGUUAUUUCCUUUGCUGGUUCUUGCUGCAGCGCUCCCGCAGGCGAGGAGGGGAACAAGUUGCUCAAA